rnacentral:rRNA from 1 species
UGGGGAAUAUUGCGCAAUGGGCGAAAGCCUGACGCAGCGACGCCGCGUGCGGGAUGAAGGUUUUCGGAUCGUAAACCUCUGUCCGAAGGGAAGAAACCGCACUGUGCUAAUCAGCAGUGCCUUGCCGGUACCUUCAAAGGAAGCACCGGCUACCUCCGUGCCAGCAGCCGCGGUAAUACGGAGGGUGCAAGCGUUAAUCGGAAUUACUGGGCGUAAAGCGCACGUAGGCUGCUUUGUAAGUCAGGGGUGAAAUCCCACGGCUCAACCGUGGAACUGCCUUUGAUACUGCUUAGCUUGAAUCCGGGAGAGGGUGGCGGAAUUCCAGGUGUAGGAGUGAAAUCCGUAGAUAUCUGGAGGAACAUCAGUGGCGAAGGCGGCCACCUGGAACGGUAUUGACGCUGAGGUGCGAAAGCGUGGGGAGCAAACAGG